GGGUGUGAGAGUGAUGUGGCUGCAAUAUCUGUCAUUCCAUUGAUUACCAGGUUGGCUUCAUUAGUUCUGGAUGGCUAGGCUAUGGCCUCCUUUCUUCUUUACUUCUCCACAUGCAUCCCUUCUCAAGCUGCGCGCUCUGUCAAAGAAAGCACGCUUCUCUAAUAGGGUACACCAUCUUUGGAGAAAAGUAUAUUUAUUGUCAGGGAAUAACCCAAUUUGAUUCAAGAGCUCCUAAACAAUCUCUU
ensembl:misc_RNA 7SK 7SK RNA